CCUACGGGUGGCUGCAGUGGGGAAUAUUGCACAAUGGGCGCAAGCCUGAUGCAGCCAUGCCGCGUGUGCGAAGAAGGCCUUCGGGUUGUAAAGCACUUUCAGCGGGGAGGAAGGCGUUAAGGUUAAUAACCUUGGCGAUUGACGUUACCCGCAGAAGAAGCACCGGCUAACUCCGUGCCAGCAGCCGCGGUAAUACGGAGGGUGCAAGCGUUAAUCGGAAUUACUGGGCGUAAAGCGCACGCAGGCGGUCUGUCAAGUCGGAUGUGAAAUCCCCGGGCUCAACCUGGGAACUGCAUUCGAAACUGGCAGGCUAGAGGCUUGUAGAGGGGGGUAGAAUUCCAGGUGUAGCGGUGAAAUGCGUAGAGAUCUGGAGGAAUACCGGUGGCGAAGGCGGCCCCCUGGACAAAGACUGACGCUCAGGUGCGAAAGCGUGGGGAGCAAACAGGAUUAGAUACCCUUGUAGUC
rnacentral:rRNA from 1 species